UACGGAGGGUGCAAGCGUUGUUCGGAAUCACUGGGCGUAAAGGGCGCGCAGGCGGCCUGAUCAGUCAGAUGUGAAAGCCCACGGCUUAACUGUGGAAGUGCAUUUGAAACUGUCAGGCUUGAGUACCAGAGGGGAAAGUGGAAUUCCCGGUGUAGAGGUGAAAUUCGUAGAUAUCGGGAGGAAUACCGGUGGCGAAGGCGACUUUCUGGCUGGAUACUGACGCUGAGGCGCGAAAGCGUGGGGAGCAAACAGGAUUAGAUACCCUGGUAGUCCACGCUGUAAACGAUGUGCACUAGAUGUAGGGGGUGUUGAUCCCCUCUGUGUCGCAGCUAACGCAUUAAGUGCACCGCCUGGGGAGUACGGUCGCAAGAUUAAA
rnacentral:rRNA from 1 species